CCUACGGGAGGCAGCAGUGAGGAAUAUUGGUCAAUGGCCGAGAGGCUGAACCAGCCAAGUCGCGUGAGGGAAGACGGCCCUACGGGUUGUAAACCUCUUUUGUCGGGGAGCAAAGCGCGUCACGUGUGACUCAUUGUGAGUACCCGAAGAAAAAGCAUCGGCUAACUCCGUGCCAGCAGCCGCGGUAAUACGGAGGAUGCGAGGGUUAUCCGGAUUUAUUGGGUUUAAAGGGGGCGCAGGCGGAUGUUCAAGUCAGCGGUCAAAUUGCGGGGCUCAACCCCGUACUGCAGUUGAAACUGCAUGCCUUGAGUGCGCGAGAAGUAGGCGGAAUGCGUGGUGUAGCGGUGAAAUGCAGAGAUAUCACGCAGAACUCCGAUUGCGAAGGCAGCAUACCGGCGCGCAACUGACGCUCAUGCACGAAAGCGUGGGUAUCGAACAGGAUUAGAUACCCUGGUAGUC
rnacentral:rRNA from 1 species